rnacentral:lncRNA from 1 species
UUUUUUUUUCUUUUGAUCUCAUCACAAAUAAAGUGAAGCUUAAAAAUAAGAACAAAAAUUGGGAAUAAAAAUAUUUUGGAACAUGCUAAAAUAUACAGUUUCUGCUCUAUUAAGAAACAAGCAGACAAUCAAUACUCUCUGGAUAAUCCUUAACCCCAAAGGGGAGAGACAAGUGAAAAAGACAUUUUAUAAAUUAGGUGAAAAUAUCUCAUUGAAAUAAUAGCAGAGUUCCCGUCAUGAUGCCCGGGAAAUGAAUCCGACUAGGAACCAUGAGGUUGCAGGUUCGAUCCCUGCUCUCACUCUGUGGGUUAAGGAUCCAGCAUUGCCGUGAGCUGUGGUGUAGGUCGAAGACAUGGCUCUCGGAUCUGGCGUUGCUGGGGCUCUGGCUGCAGCUCCGGUUGGACCCUUAGCCUGGGAACCUCCAUAUGCCGUGGGUGCAGCAACUAAAAAGACAAAACACACACACACACACAAAAGCAACAAUAGCAACUUAUAUCUAAGAGAUUAAAACUUGAGAUUUAAAGUAGAAAAUGUUUGAAAAAUGUUGUAAUUCUGAGUAAGCCUUAUAAUAUUUCUAUAUCGCUCUUGGCUGCAUUAACAUUAACUAAUUAACGCUCCUUCUACACCAACAAACCACUGAGAACUUAAAUGCGUGAUAAUGAGGAGGGGAUUCUUUCAUGUUGAUACUUUGCUCUGAAUACUCCAACUACAUGCAAAGUUACAGCUACGCUUUCUCAGCUCUGUAAGUGCAAGUUCAACCAGGUAACCACAAAUAACAUAGACGGCCAAGGCAUCAGUCCACUACUAAUUUAGCCAUGUUUUCCUAACCAGAAUAUGCAUUUGUUUUUGGUGACAGUAGUAAUAAAAUUAUUUUUUAAUUUAUUCAUUUGUUUUUCAUUUGGUUAUUUAAUCAUAUUGGUGCUCUAGUUUGUUCCAUAAAGAGACUGAGAAAGCCUAGAGUAAAAUUACAUGAGGUGCAUUAAAAUUAUCUAGGACAGGAGUUCCCGUCGUGGCGCAGUGGUUAACGAAUCCGACUAGGAACCAUGAGGUUGCAGGUUCGAUCCCUGGCCUUGCUCAGUGGGUUAAGGAUCCGGCGUUGCCAUGAGCAGUGGUGUAGGUUGUAGACGCAGCUUGGAUCCUGCUUUGCUGUGGCUCUGGCGUAGGCUGGCACCUGUAGCUCUGAUUCGACCCCUAGCCUGGGAACCUCCAUAUGCCGUGGGAACGGCCCUGGAAAAGGCAAAAAAUAAAAAAAAAUUAAAAAAAUAAAGUCAUUACUACUUCCCACAACCAAUCCAAUAUGUCUGUACCUUAAACUCAUGAUAAAAGCACAUAUUAAAGCAGAUAUGAUCACUGUAUGGGUAAAUAUAUUGCUAAUAAAAAUCCCUUCCAAUAUACAAGGCAUUCCAGUGCAGU